rnacentral:rRNA from 1 species
GAGUUUGAUCAUGGCUCAGGACGAACGCUGGCGGCGUGCUUAACACAUGCAAGUCGAACGGAAAGGCCCUCACCUUGGUGGGGGUGCUCUAGUGGCGAACGGGUGAGUAACACGUGGGUGAUCUGCCCUGUACUUCGGGAUAAGCUUGGGAAACUGGGUCUAAUACCGGAGAGGACCAUGGUUUAGUGUCUCAUGGUGGAAAGAUUAGUGUUUUGGUGCACGAUGACCUCGCGGCCGAUCAGCUUGUUGGUGGGGUGAUGGCCAAGCAACGCCUCAACUGGUAGCCGGUCUGAAAGGGUGGACAGCCGCUUUGGGACUGAGAUGCGGCCCAGACUCCUACCGGACGCAUCCGUGGGGAAUAUUGGACAAUGGGCGCACGCCGGAUGCAGCCACGCCGCAUGGGGGAUGACUGCCUUCAGGUUGUCAACUCCUUUCAUUACGGACUAAACCGCAACUAUUUUGGGUGUGGUGACGGUACCUUUGUUAAGAAGCACCCGCUAACUACAUGCCCGCCUCCGCAGUUGUACGUAGGGUGCGAGCGUUGUCCGGAAUUACCGGUCGUAAGAAUCUCUUAGGUGGUUUGUUGCGUCGUCUGUGAAAUUGCGGGGCUUAACUUCGGGGUGGCAGGCGAUACGGGCAUAACGAGAGUGCGGUAGGAGAGAGUAGAAUUCAUGGUGUAGCGGUGGAAUGUGCAGAUAUCAGGAGGAACACGGAUGGAGAAGGCAGGUCUGUGGGCAGUAAGAGACGGUGAGGAGAGAAAGCAUGGGGAGCGAACAGGAUGAGAUACCCUGGUAUGUCCAUGCGUGUAAAGGGUGGGAGUUAGGUGUGGGGACAUGUAUGGUUUCUGUGCCGUAGUUAACGCAUUAAGCGCCCCGCCUGGGGAGUACGGCCGCAAGGCUAAAACUCAAAGGAAUUGACGGGGGCCCGCACAAGCGGCGGAGCAUGUGGAUUAAUUCGAUGCAACGCGAAGAACCUUACCUGGGUUUGACAUGCACCAGACGGUUGUAGAGAUACGUACCUCCCUUUGUGGCUGGUAGAGCAGGUGGUGCAUGGUUGUUGUCAGGUUGUGUUGUGAGAUGUUGGGUUAAGUCCCGCAACGAGGGCAACCCUUGUUUUAUGUUGCCAGCAAGUUAGGGUGGGGAAUCAUGAGAGAAUGCCGGGGUUAAAUGGGAGGAAGGUGGGGAAGAAGUCAAAUUAUCAUGCCCCUUAUGCGCAGGGGUUCACACAUGAUACAAUGGUUAGUACAAGGGGGAGCAAACAGGUGAAUGUGAGGGAAUUGUUGAAAGCUAAUUUCAGUUUGGAUUGGGGUGUGGAAAUUGACCCCAAGAAGUUGGAGUUGGUAGUAAUUGCAGAUCAGGAAUGCUGCGGUGAAUACGUUCCCGGGCCUUGCACACACCGCCCGUC